rnacentral:sRNA from 1 species
UGGGGACGAUCUGCGGGCAGAUGAAGUGCACGUGGCAGUCGAUGCCGCCGGCGGUGAGGAUCCGGCCGUUGCCGGCCAUCACCUCGGUGCCCGGGCCGAUCACCAGGUCGGGGUGGACGCCGUCCAUGGUGUCGGGGUUGCCGGCCUUGCCCAGCGCCACGAUCCGCCCGUCGCGGAUGCCGACGUCGGCCUUGACGAUCCCCCAGUGGUCCAGGACGACGGCGCCGGUGAUGACCAGGUCGGGUGCGCCCUGCGCGCGGGUGGCGCGGCCCUGGCCCAUCGACUCG